AACUAAUUUGCGAUGUGACAUGUAGCCUAAACGAAGGAGAACAGAAGAUGUGAACACACAGAAGACGCUCAGACUGGAUGCGUGAGAUCCUGCAAUAUUGGCGAUCAGCACUGGAAGAAGAUUUUUGGGGGGAGAGCAGGCACC